rfam:Corchorus capsularis cultivar CVL-1 contig15105, whole genome shotgun sequence.
GAAUGCGAUCAUAGCAGCACUAAUCCACCGGAUCCUAUCAGAACUCCGCAGUUAGCCGUGCUUGGGCGAGAGUAGUACUAGGAUGGGUGACUUCCUCUGAAGUCCUCGUGUUGCACCCC